rnacentral:rRNA from 1 species
UAAGCCAUGCAAGUGCAAGUACGAGUCGCGCGCUUUGACGCGACGACACUGCGAAAGGCUCAUUAAAUCAGUCGUGGUCUACGUGGUCGUGCGGCGACGAGAGUCGUCAAAGGUGGAUAACCGUGGAAAAGCUAGAGCUAAUACAUGCAAGCGAGCGCCGACUUCGGGAGGCGUGCAUUUAUCAGACCGCACGUCGGCCGGGCGUCGGCGGCCCCGGGCUUCGCGGCCCGGUGUGUCGGCCGGCGUCCGUCGAUUGUGGUGACUCUGGAUAACUUAUCGUGCUGAUCGCCGGUCCGUUCGAGAUCGGGCGACGAACCACUCGAGCGUCUGACCUAUCAACUGUUGUCGGUAAGGUCUCGGCCUACCGAGGUUCUCACGGGUGACGGGGAAUCAGGGUUCGAUUCCGGAGAGGGAGCCUGAGAAACGGCUGCCACUUCCAAGGAAGGCAGCAGGCGCGCAAAUUACCCAUUUCAGACUCUGAGAGGUAGUGACGAGAAAUACCGAUGCCGGGCCUCGACGGGCGCCGACAAUCGAAAUGAGCGCAGCUCAAAACACUGAUGUCGUUCCGUUCAUCGGUCGCGUGAGUCGUGAGACGGCGCGGCCGCUUGGACGUGUGUCGUGCAAGUAUCGAUCGGAGGGCAAGUCUGGUGCCAGCAGCCGCGGUAAUUCCAGCUCCGAAAGCGUAUGCUCAUGCUGUUGCGGUUGAAAAGCUCGUAGUUGGAAAUAAGCUUUUCGCCGUUCGCGCGCCGGCCGCAAGGCCGCGCGUCGCGAUCGAAACGAAAGACGGACGGUGUUCGGCGGGCGCGUUCCGAAAGGGCGCGUUCGGGCGAGCCCGAAGGCGAGCGGCCGGCGUGGCUCCCAUCUCGAUGGAAGUUGCACGUCGAGAGUCGUUCGCAGGUUGCCCUGAAGAAAUUGAAGCGAUCAGGGCGGGUCGACGCUAAGCAAAGACUCGUGCCGCGAGGUUCGAAGUCGACCGAGAACAGUCGUGCAUGGUACAACGGAAGACGGCCGCGGCUCCGCCGCCGGCGUCGAGAUAUGUGCGCGUGGCAAUGAUCAAGAGGGACGGACGGGGGCAUUCGUACUGUGCCGGGAGGGGUGAAAUCUGUGGAUCGGCGCAAGACGAACAGAAGCGAAGGCGUCUGCCAAGGACGUUUUCCUUAAUCAAGAGCGAAAGUCGGAGGUUCGAAGACGAUCAGAUACCGUCGUAGUUCCGACCGUAAACGAUGCCGACCGCAUGGUCGCUCACGUAUUCAAAGAUCUCGUCAGGUCGCGCUCCGCGCGUGCCGGUGCUCGCGCGUCUUCGGACGGUCUGCGAGACCGUGCGCGUCGUGGUCGGGGCCGAGGGAUCGGGCAUGUCGGGGUGGCCGUGCCGGGAGGGAAACCGGAGUCUUCGGGUUCCGGGGGAAGUAUGGUUGCAAAGCUGAAACUUGAAGGAAUUGACGGAAGGGCACCACCAGGAGUGGAGCCUGCGGCUUAAUUUGACUCAAAGCGGGGAAACUCACCCGGCCCGGACGUUACGAGGAUUGACAGAUUGAAAGCUCUUUCUCGAUUUAGCGGAUGGUGGUGCAUGGCCGUUCUUAGUUCGUGGAACGAUUCGUCUGGUUGAUUCCGAUAACGAACGAGACUCGAAUUUACUCAUGUAUGCGAGCCCGAUGCUGUGCGUCGUUCGGUCUCUCGCGGGCGAGCGCCUUUCGGGGUGCGCGUCCAAGGGAAGGCCGCUCGUCGCCAGGUUGUGCGAUCGGGUCGUGUUCGCGGCGACGGAACUCGCGCGCGGCACGAAAGUAUUCUCAGAAGGACCGGCGGCGGUUAAGCCGCACGAGAUCGAGCGAUAACAGGUCUGUGAUGCCCUUCGAUGUUCGGGGCCGCACGCGUGCUACAAUGGUCGGAGCAGCAAGAGGACCGGAACGACGCAGCGCCGUCGGUCUCGUGCGCGGUCGCGUUCGCGCGCGGCCGCCUCGAGAUGGUCCGCGGGCCGAGAGGCUCGUGAAACCAAACGAAACCA